GAUAGUCAUAAGAUCCUUUAUGCACUGAGAGAAAGAUAAGAUAUGGCAUUCAGAAACACCACUCAAAGAGAAGCUAUAUGAACCAGUGGAUGCCCUACCAAAGACCACCAGAUUUGCUGAGGAGACUGGUAUUCAACUGUAAAGGUGUACGAUAAAAAAAAACAUGAUUUAUAACUUGUCAUGAUAAAACUAUAUACCAAUCAUCAAAUUAAUAUCUUCAAGCGUGACAAAAAAAACAACAACAAAAAACGGAAAAUUGAUUAUUUGAGUCUGUGUACAAAAUCGUCAGACCGGAAUAAAAUUCGAACUUGGUCUGUGACUGUGUGACCGACGGGCACAGACUGACGGAUUACCUAGACCAAACAUACAUUUAGAAUGCUUGUGAACUGUACAUGUUCUAGCAGUUUUCCACAGACAUUGACCUUGUUUUCCUGUUUCAUAUGCCAUGAUUGUUAUUUUUUUUGGUGGUAUUGGUCUGUCAUGUUCUCAUACACUAUACGCAUGCACUUGUGGAAAAUAUACUAUAUCGUAAUGGUUAUCUUCUAAUCGUUGAUUGGUUGCUUAACGUCCAGUGGCAAAUAUCAAAUUGUUGAUGAGGAAACAUACGAGAUAAAAAAUGACAAAAGUGGGCAGUGAUUGACAAACAUGAAAUCGCGAAUAAGGCAAAAAUCGGAUUUUUAAAGUUUUAUUUCACAUUUCGCGUUCUUGCGAUUUUUACGAUUUUUCUGACGUUUUUAUAAAUAUAAAGACGAAAACGCUAAACAGCCUUAUCCGCCGGGUUCCAUAUCAAUAUCAUCGAAAUAAACUAUUUAUUACAUCUAUAGAUUACUUUUGUUGAAAUCCUAGCAUAUUGAACAUUUCCAAUUCAACGGGUUUGUCAGCUGUUAGAGUAAUUUAAAACAUAUGUGUUUGAGACAUAAGUGACAUUAAGUUAAGAUAUAAAGAAUGUUUCAAUACAUGAUUUAAAUAGAAUAAAUAAACCAUAAAGACUAUUUAAAAAAAAAAGGAGAUGCAUUCCCUAUAUGCCUGAGUACUAGAUUUGAACUCUGUCAAUCCUGAAGUACAGUAACUAUUUAUAUAUAUAUAUAGAUAAAACAUGUGGUUUGAGUGCCAAUGAGACUACUCGAUCUCAAAACAAGUUAUAAACAUAGUAAAAAGUAAACCACUAUAUCACAAGAUUUCUAGCAAAUAUUUAGAAUAAUACUUCCAGGUUUCAAAGUAGAAUGCAAACACACCCAGGUUUCAAAGUAGAAUGAAAACAUAUCCAGGUUUCAAUUAUAUGGGAUGUAUCCUUCAUGUGAUACGGGUAACAUACGGCAAAAUCCGGUAGUCACAUGUGCUUUUCCUCAAUACACCGUACUCAUUGUCACAUUGUGUCCUAUAAAUUCCCUCUAGAAGUUGAAAUUUUAAGUCCGUUCCGAUUUCGCUCUCUCCCUCUAUAUAUAUAUAUAUAAGUUGUCUGUGGUUCAAACAUAAUCUAUAGAUAGGAUCCGGCAAUUCUGAUCUGAAUGAUUUGGUAAAUGUGUUUUCCGCUUCACAAAACUGAAAAAACAUCAACUCUUAUUGGAAUAGGAAACGUGCCACUUGGAAUGAUUUUUUUUAUGAUUCCGUGAAAAGUACCACGUUCAUUCGUUAAAAACUAUGACCUUGAACAGGAAACUAUCUUCCUAUAAAUGUACCAACUAAAUCAAUUACGAACAUCAAAUAAAAGGUGGACUUCGUACAUGUACACCCAAAGAACUUAGAGGACUGUAAGAUCCGGAACAUCAAUCCCUUUUAUC
rnacentral:lncRNA from 1 species